GAUCAUGGCUCAGGAUGAACGCUGGCGGCGUGCUUAACACAUGCAAGUCGAACGGACUUUAUAUGAAGCCUAGCGAUUAUAAAGUUAGUGGCGGACGGGUGAGUAACGCGUGAAUAACCUGCCCUGUACCGGGGGACAACAGUUGGAAACGGCUGCUAAUACCGCAUAAGCGCACGGUUCCGCAUGGAACAGUGUGAAAAACUCCGGUGGUACAGGAUGGAUUCGCGUCUGAUUAGCCAGUUGGG
rnacentral:rRNA from 1 species